AGCCUUAGUUGCUUAGUGUUGGGAGCAUACGGUAACGUAGCUCCUCAAAGUUAGUGGCGGAGUUGGUUCACACUCUAGACGUAGUAAUUUUUUAUCUCGCCUAUCAGUUGGACUGAUCCCCUGCAGUAAAACCCCAACUUCUCAAGGUUGACCUCGAAUCGGUUCAGACAAACUCGCUAAAUUGAAGCAUCUUAGUCAGCGAAGGAAAAGAAACCAACAGGGAUUGCCCUAGUAACGGCGAGUGAAGCGGCAACAGCUCAAAUUUGAAAUCUGGCCCUCGGGUCCGAGUUGUAAUUUGUAGAGGAUGCUUUUGGCGCGGUGCCUUCCGAGUUCCCUGGAACGGGACGCCUUAGAGGGUGAGAGCCCCGUACGGUUGGACACCAAGCCUCUGUAAAGCUCCUUCGACGAGUCGAGUAGCUUGGGAAUGCUGCUCUAAAUGGGAGGUAAAUUUCUUCUAAAGCUAAAUAUUGGCCAGAGACCGAUAGCGCACAAGUAGAGUGAUCGAAAGAUGAAAAGCACUUUGAAAAGAGGGUUAAACAGCACGUGAAAUUGUUGAAAGGGAAGCGUUUGCGACCAGACCUUUUCCUAGCGGAUCAUCCGGUGUUCUCACCGGUGCACUUCGCUAGGUUUAGGCCAGCAUCGGUUUCUGUAGGGGGAUAAAAGCUCUGGGAACGUAGCUCCUCCGGGAGUGUUAUAGCCCUCUGCAUAAUACCCUUACGGGGACCGAGGACCGCGCUCGC
rnacentral:rRNA from 1 species